rnacentral:lncRNA from 1 species
UGAGCCUUUUUGCUUGGGUACGAUGCUUGCCUUCUGGGACACGAGGUUUUUUUAUCCAUCUCAUAGAGUAAUGCACUGAAGGAGCCAACGAUGCUGGAGGUCAGCGAAACAAAGAAGAAAUUUUUGGAACCCAUUUUCUUAACAAGAUGACCGCGAUGAUGACAAAGUUUCCCCAUCUUCUUCAGACAUGACUCUCCCCAUUGAGCCCAUUCUUCACUGCAUGACGCUUGAACAAACUCCUGUGGAGUGAACUGUUGCCAGAUGGGAAGAAAGCAGCAUGCUGGCUAUGCUGGGUGCUGUUAUGAGCGUAUCAGUGAUUGACAAGGCGAUUCACGCAAGUGGAUGUAGCUGGCAAAGUAUUGUCAGAUGCCCAGGGAUGAAAAGUUCUCCAAGCAUGCAGAGUGCUGCUCUGAAUUAGCAUCAGCAUCCAGCAGCCAGGCCACAGGGCUGUGGGCUGAGUCACAAAGUACGAACUUUCCAGCUAGACGAACAACCUGGCAGAGGAAAGCAGAUGCUGGAGGAUGGGACGGCAGGAGUUACGCAUGCGUGGAGAAGAAAGGAGAUGUGAGCAGGGCAGGCAUGCAGCCUUUGGAGAACUGCCAGUUGCUGCCAUGGAGAAUGAAGAGGGCACGUUACCCUCUGGGGCUGAGCCUCCCCUGGGCUCAUGCCUUGGUUUGGGAUGCCCCUCGGUGCAAGGCUUGAGGUGCUGAGCGAGUGCCAGCGAACAGAACAGGGAGCUGCAGUGGGACAGAGACGAGAGCAUUUGCUUGGAAGCGUUCUGCUGCUUUCCUGCCAGGUGUUUCUAAGAGCAUCCCCUGAACUGCCUGCAUUCCUGCUGCAGAUUAGAAGCACGUGGAGAUGGAGGAUAAAAGGGGCGUUAGCAAUUAGCUCUGGUGAUGCCUUCAGCUGCUGAAAAAGUUGCACUAGCGAAGAACUAUUAAUUGAAAUCCCCGGUUCAUACAGAGCUGUCAGUAAUGAAUGCAUAAUGGAGAAAGUCCAUUUAAUUUUUAAUUAUCACCGUCUCCCUCCAAACAAAUACAACGCGUUAAAUCUUCCUGUCACCUUCAGCCACGCAAAGGAUGUUUGAUGGAAGUCUUCAUUAACCCCAGGUCUGCUCAGGGCAUCCUGCCAGGCCAUUAGCUAGUUAGUUACAAUAGCAAUGACUGGCACUUGGCAUGAGAAAGCCCGGGUGGCCCUCGCCAGGUCCAGAACGUGGCAGGAAUUAACUCUGUGUGAUCAUUGCAGGAGGAGGCUGAAAUCCCUUGGCUGAGCUUUCUGAGCUGGCGGGGUCUGGAGCACAUCGUGCAUCUGAUUGGGGGCUGUGGGAGCUCAAGGAGACCCCGUUAAGUCUCAGUUCCCAGCUGAAAUCCUGGUUGGUUUGGGGGCCCCUUCCAAACAUGACCUCCGGGGGACUCCUGGCAGGUCUGCCAAAGCAGCAGCACAGUCUGUCUUCCAUAGAUUGAGGAGUAUGGAUGUGUUUAUGCUCCAGUCUGAGCAGCGGGACGUGCACUGAAUGAAGUACUUAAGUCCUGAAGGAGAGUACUGACACAGUGGCCUGAAUUCCAGCCUGUGCUAUGGGGUUUGGAUGUGGAGCAUAUUUAAUGACCCUAUUUAGGAUUUGACCAAGGAUCUACUGGAAGCCAGCUUGAGAAGAAACUGCCAUGGGCUUUUGGUGAACCAUAGCUGGCCUGGGAUUCCCAUUUCAGCUAAAAGCACAAGGCCUGUUCUUGGUCGGGUUAAUCCAGGUGGAAUCAUCUUGCUAAUGACCAGUGCUGUCGGAGGCUGCAUUCUGCUUUACAGGUGAUUUAAAUCAGAACCGAUUCUCCCAGAUUUGGAUGAAGUUAACAAUGUGAAGCUGAUGGAAGCUGGGUGAAAAAUCAGACCACGAUUAUCCGCUGAAAGCAUGAAUAGAUGCAAGCAAGCAGCUCUGACUUCCCGGGGGCAUUGGCUCAUGGGGAGCUGCUGGAACGUCGUGCUUGGGAAGGGUCUGAGGUGAGGGUUUACAGCUCUAAAAAGUCACCUUUCAACACCUGUCCCAGACGUGUCCUUACAUUUACUAUUUCUGGCAUCUCACUCUCAAAUGAGUUUGCCUACAGACAGCCUUCUGGGGAUUCAAUUAAACUCUCAAAUAAAAUAAACGCUAUCCCUUAGUAAGGGCUUGAAUGCUAAGCAGAGCCAUUAUUUGAACGAAAACGGGGCUGUAAGUUUCAGUGUUGUGUCCUCUGUUUUCAUCAGCUGGGGGUCAGAAACAAGUGAAGAUGGGAAAGCCCUGUUCAUUAACUCAGUACAUCCACCCUCAGAGCUUCUCUGCUGCUUUGAAGUGAGCAAAACACCUAUAAGCAUUUUGUUUGGCAGCACUCCUGCAAGUCAGUGACUCAGGGUGAAGUCACUGCAACAGCUCCUGUUCUUUCUCAGCUGAUAAACCCCCUGGAUAUGUAUUGCAUGGGCAGUGCAGUGACUCUGAGCCCUGGGCUCUGGUGUCAUUUACCUGUUGAGUGACCUGGGGCAAGUUCACAUCUUUGUUGUUGUCUAAUUCCAGUACUUGCUUGGUGUGAAGUGAUCUACAGGUCAUCCUGUGGAUGAAGUCUCAGUUCUUAGAAUCUUUAGUCCAGACUUGUUUAUUUUGGCCAUGGAGAAGGGCAUGCCUGGGCAUGUACGGAAAUUGGGUGAGCUGCUGCCACAGGGAAUUGUGGCCAGUCUGCAAUGGAGGAAUGUGGCCAGUGGAAGGAUCCCAAAAUUGAGAUCUCACACCAGAAACGUUUGGCGCACCAGGUCCAGAUCUUGGGCAAGAUGUUCCCUGAGAUGUGUUUGACAAUUGCAGUGCAGCUGCAGCUUAUGUGAAGUUUCUUUUGAACCUUAUCAUAAAUUCCAAUCUGCUGCAAUUUCUGGUUGAUUCCAUCUCACCUGAAGCUUGCUUUGCAGCUGAUCUGCAGGCACCAAUACAGGCCAGAAACAGUGGCCACUCUUUGAAGGCUGCUGGCAGCGUAAGCUGGAGUGCAGGAGUCAUCCUUCUGCUCUGCAGAGCACUGGGAGACUUCAGCUCUUGUUUGGGGCACUGAACUCUGAGAGUGAUGGAAUCCAAUUAACAGAGAAAACUGCAGAGAAGACUGAUGAAAUGAUCAAGAGGUCUGGAAAACUGUGGCCAACAGAGUAGAGGGAAAUAAUUGGAUUGUGUAGCUUAAAGAGAAAACUAAGUGAUAAUAAUCUGAGUGGAUAAAAGGUGGCUGCAGGAAGGGAGUGGUGCCUUCUUCACAUCUCCUGCAGCUAAGAAAUAGCAGGUGCAGUUUGCAACGAGGAAGAUCCAAAUUAAGUAUAAGGCAAACCUUUUCCAUGGCUUUUAUUGCCUCUUCCAGCAAAGGCAAAGGAAUGAAGACUUCAGGUUAAACAAACGUGUAGCAGGAAUGAUGUCCAGAGCUCCCGCUCCCAUGAAACAGGAGGCUUAACUCCAUAAAUAACACAGAUCGUUUCUCUUUUUCAGUGAUCCUAAGUACACAGGGGCUUAUUGAAACCCAGACAUAGCUGGCCAUCCACAUGCAUGCGCUUUGUUCUCUUCCAAAUACUUGCAUACAAAUGAUGCUAGAAGAUAGCAGACCUUCGUGAGGUCUCCCUGUCAGGUCCUCCAAGGUGAUUUGACCUCCUUAAUUUGAGCUCUUCUUGUAAUUAGCACAGCUGUGCUGUUCUUAAGGUUUUGGCACCGUGCAGCCAAUUGCAGUCUUAGCAGCUCUCUUAUUGUUAAGAUGCUAUUUUUUUAUUUAUAUCUCUUCGUCUAAGAGAAGCUAUGAUAAAAAGCUGCAGAGAUUUUUAAGCCGGCUUUGCUGCUUGUUGCAGCUGCACGCAGCCUGGGGUGCACCCAUUGCUCUGCGUGACAGCUGGAUGGGAACUGUUGAAUCAGGGCCUCAACCUCUGAUUGACCACCUGAGCAAGCACUGAGUCAGGCACGGAGCACAGGUGAAGGCAAUCCACCUGUGAUUGGAAGGGCUGGAGCCAGGCUGCACCUCUCCUAGACCCCAUUUAAGGGCUGACUGCUGUUGAGGAAGGAUCUGUUCCUUGUGAUUGAUCCUCGUGGAGUUUUUGUGAGCCUACGAUGCUGGUGGAUUGAUGAGCUCCUGAGCCAGCCAAAGACAUCCCAGGUCUGAGGCGAGCAAGGCAAGAGCUCCAUCCCUGUUGUGUCAGGCCAGAUGGAAGCAGUACUGGGCCAACACUUGCCAUGAAGUAAGAAUUUGUUUCUUUCUUGAUGCCAAGGAACAAUGAUACUAAAUGGAAGGAGGGGAAGAAAAGAGCACACACCUACAAACUGAAAGAGGAGCGGUUAGCUACCUUCUUGCAUGUGCUGGCUCUCUUUGAACACCUCCAUCACCACCUAAGGGAGAAUGUGGAGAGGUGCUUUGUCCACUGCAAUCUGUUCCUGGAUGGGACGACACUUGAAUGACUGGAGCAUGCCGGAGCCAGGUGAAUGAUGCCCAGGGCUUCCCAGGCUUGGAGCUGUUGCCAGCUGUUGGGUUGCUGCUCUUGGAUCCCUGUACCUGCACCUGCCUGGUUGCUGCUGGGAGGAGAUGUGCCUUGCUCAGAGAGCAGGUGAUGGCAGCUCAAGGCAAAGUACAACAGCGUAGAACCAACAAAAAAUGAGCAGGUUGAGACCUAUGUUGUGCAGGCAGGAUGCAGGAGGAGGCCAUCUGUGGGAGCAGUGGGACACGUGUCAUCCCAGCAAGGCAGCAAGACAGAAUCUUCUUCCUGCAAAACCCAGCAAACACCAGCGUAGAGAAAGGAAACCUCAGUCUUGAAGCAGAAGAUAAGGAGCAGAAUGACCUUGCAUCUUCCAUCCAUACACCUGAGGUUAACAGUCGAGGAACCUGAGGCCAGGUGGGAUGAGAGCGCACAGGGUUGGUGCCCGUGGCACUGCUGGACUCGGAGCUGCAGAACCACCAUGUCCUCUCUCCUUAUCAUCCUCCACAUGCUCCUUUUUGGGUAUUUUGCAGCACUUUGAGGCUGGGAGAAGUGGUGCAGCAGCAAUGACAACCAGGACAUUGUCCCCUUGGGACAUGCAUUGAGCGAGACCCGGCUGCCUGCCUUAGCCCUUGAAAGGAAGGGGUGAAGGAAAAUGGGAAAAGGAGAAGGUGGGAAGGAGAACGAGAGAGAAAAAUGAAUUGCUUAAAACUUCUAUUACUCUUCAUUACCUUCUGCUUUAUCAGGAGGAAAACCAGCACCCGAGCCAGCCCUGUGCUCCAUGCAUCUCCUUCACCAGGCCUGGGGAGAAGCACGGAGCUCACUCCAUGCUGGAACGAAUUGCAGCCUGGAGCAGGUCUUAAAGAAAGGCAUGCAGAAAUUCAGGUUUGACACUGAAUUCAAAGGGAUGGGUGCUGCAGAGAAGCAGAGUGCAACCAGGAUGGAGUCAGUGGCCCACCACGCACAGAAGACUGAAGUAUUGAUCCUAAUUAUUACUGAACCCAAAUUAAGACAAAAUCCCUGUCCAUUUGCUGAAUGCAGUUCAUACUAUUCCAAAAGGCCACACUAAGCCCCAGCUCACAGUGGAUUUUCACAGCUCAAGCACAGUGCUGGGCACUCCCAUGGCUCAGGGUAGGAGGGCUCAGUCUGCCCAGGCAUCUCCUCAGCCCCACACCGAUGUGUUGGUACCUAGAUCUAGAGAGUUAGAUAACACAACACAGCAUCUUCAGAUUCACGGUAAUGUGUUGUUUAAGGAGGCCAAAACAUCAAGGGGGACCAGGCAGGACCAGGACCCUCAAAUCCCCAACUUCACUCCCCCCUCCCCCUCCACCAUCCUCUGAAACCAGGACCGCAAAUUGAGCUUAGCCUCUUCCUCCCCCUCCACUCACACCCUCACUCCUUGAAUUAAGAGGAAAGAAAAUGAACGCUGCAUGCUGCAUCCUGCAACUGAGGCACUGUGCAGCACCAUCCCCAGUGGAUGCAGUCCUCUGGAGACUACAAGAAGUCCCAGGGGGGCAUCAGCAGCCGUGGCACAGCAUCCGCAGCACAGCGGAGUACCACUGCUCGCUCUCCAGCCCUAUUUCUGUGUUCCAUGCCAGUUGGCACUGCUGAUUCUGUGGUGCUCUGGAGUACCCUUAUCUCUCCAGGAGAGGCUUUCACCACAGCCCUUGAGCACUAGGAAAUGGAGAUACUCAACUGCUCUACAUCAAUCAGAGGGGGAGGCUGGGAAGGGGAACAGCGUGUCCCCGCCUGUCGCUCCAUGUAAGCUCUGCCCUUCACUGCUGACAGCAGAUUAAUUCCCAGCCAAAGCACAACACCCUCCUGAUGGAGAGGGGAAGCCUUCAAAAAGCAAAGCCUCCCACCCGUGAGUGCCCUGAAGUGGGGGGCGCAGCUAACAGGCAGCACAGGAGUCCCCAGGACGGAGAGUGCUUGGACAACACUGUCCAUUAGUACCUGGGUAUGGGUGGUGCUGCAAACAGAUUUUGCCAGGAAGCCAGUAGUGGCAUCCCCACAGUGCAGCAGGUCUGGGAAUUUGGGGCAUCUGGAGAUGGUCACAGUGCAACGACAACAUGGUUGCGUUAGGGACCACCCCUUUCCCCCCUAGCUCUGUGGCUGGAGGCUGCGAGUGGGCUCCCACCAGCUCCUGCACCCACAGGGAAGCUUUUCCCCAGGCUGCUCAGAUGAGAGCCCAGGGAAAGGGGGAACUGUCUGCCUGUGCCCUGGGCAAGCUGGGCUGCAAUUUCUCUCCUCCCGCAGCCCACGGCACCAGCUGCCCUCCCAGGGGCUGCUCUCCUCCUGGCAUGCUGUGAGUCACGUCUCUGAUGUCACCUCUCCACGUCACUGGAGCUUGGAAAUGGAUUUAAUGAGCCCGUGUUUUCUUCAGCUAAGAAAAACCUCAAAGAGGCUUAUGCUCGAGCACCCUGAGGAGCCAGCAGGGCUCUCUGCAGCUGCCACAGUCCCCACAGGAGGACAGAUAGCUGCACAGUGCUCCAAAGCAGGGCGGUCAGCACCAAAAGCAGAGCGCCAGACAUGCAGGGGACAACGCAUCACAGAGAUGGGAGGAUGUUUGUCCACAAUGCGCCCUUCCACAUUACCACCCUCCUCAUGGGACGUGGCAGGUGAUGCCCUGCAAUGCCUCAUGAUGCUCACGGGGAGGGGACAGCACAGUAGUGGCACCGUGCCCACACUCAGAGGACCCAGCAGCAUCUCUGAGGGCUGCCACACAAUAAGCUGAGGUGGUGGCCAUUGCUCCUCAUGUUCUCCCACUCCCAGACACAUGUGCUGGACCCAUCCCCACAAACAUCUAUCUUAGGCCGCCCAGCAGCUUUUUUAACACCAGUCACAUUGGGGAUGUGAAUCCUGAUUCACAGCAGUAUAGAUUGAAAUGUGAGCCUGUGGUGUUUUCAGAAGAACAAGUCCUUGUAAAGCAGAAGGGAACAAAAUUCAUUAUCAAAAUCAAGGGAAACGAGGAACAUUUGUUCUCUUUUAUGAAGGUCACUAAGAAAGGAAGCCCUACAUGGGGUCCCUGAAAAGCCAGUAGUGUAUGCAGUCAGCAGACAGAGGGCAUCUUCUAUUAAUGAAGGUGCCUCACCAAAAACACAGGCAUCAUAUAAAUUAUCAGAUAAUGAAAUUCCAGUUAAUUUGCUGCCUGGUCAGCUACAGCCCUCCUGCCAUGCUCCUGAGCCCAGCCAAUAACAUUAAGAAAGAAUUACCUUGCUACUAGGGCAGCUGGUGGAAAACCACAUCCCGAUUACUCGAUUCAGAAAACAAUAUCUUCUCCAGGACAAGAGGGGUGGAUGCUGCAGCCCCAUGGCCCUCCACACUGGGUUGACUACACAGGGACAUGUUCCCAACUGAUUCUUGCAGCCCUUUACCUUUUAGCAGCUUUGCUACCAGGAUCUCUUGAUGGGAUCCUUUUGCCCAGUUGCUCAUGGGCAUCCCACCUCACCCACAGCUCCCUGUUCUCUCCUGGGUUUGUGUCUCCUUACCAGAACCCAGAAGAGCAACCAGAGAACAAGGAGAUGGCAUCCACCCCCUUUGCUCAAGUAAGUUCUUGAUCCCAUGGGUAGAAAGAGACUUAAGAAGGGGAAGUUUGGGGGAACCUUCCCCUUCUAAAUAGGCUGUAGUGGUUGAAAGCAAAGACAAGGCUCAGGAAGAGGUCCUACAUCCUCAACAUGGAGUGGGUUUCAAGUACAAACUGCAUUAUAGCUCCUUCCAUUCUCCUUCUCCAUCUGCUGCUCCAAACUAUCAGAGCACCAAGAAUUCAGCAUGCGCCAUGUAAUUUUAAAGCCAUUAUGUAAGCUGCUCUCCCCUCCCCACCUCUCAAUGUCUCCAAUUGGUGUGUCAGAAUGUAAUUAGCUUUUGAUGGGAUGUUAAGAUUUCUUGAGCUCCCGUGGAGAGGUAGCAUGGGGAGAGGCGAGGCAGCGGAUUGUGAUUGUCACUCCCCACAUAAGUGCUCGAAGACCCUGGAAGACUCAUUUACAAAAAUGUAAAAUAAAUAAAUAAAUAAACCUAAAAGCAGCAGACCCAGUAGGCUUCAGCUUAAUUGACUGAAUUUGUGGGUUAUUUAUUUAUUUUUUUACCUCCGCUUGGUGAGAAAUGAGAAUUAACUCUCUCAUAGCCAACGAAGGAGCGCCAUGCUGUGGCAACGGUCAGGGCUCUAUUGCACAUCCCAGUUGGAGAGGCUGGAAGCACUGAGCUGUUGGUUCCUGCCCUUCCAAGCAGUGCCAGCUUUGCUGCUACAACCAACUGCACGAGGACUCCUCCACCAGAUUCAUUACUGAGUCCUCCAGCCCUGCACCACAAAAACACCAGCCCUCCUGCCAGGGCACCCAAGAAGCAGAAAGGUUUGGGCAUGGCCAAGUGUGCUCCCACAGCCCAAAGGUAACACUUGGAAUCCAGAUCCGUGAGUGUUUCGGGGCUAACAGACCCAACUUGAGGUGCUUGUAAUCUGCCAUGGUGCUUUUACAAAAACAAGCUCCUCUUGAUGUCUUGUUGCCAGCCUCCCAGUGCCCCAUACCACAGACCAGUGCUCUCAUGGUCAUACCACACACUCAGACCUUACUUCACACCCUUUCCCCAAUAGCCGACCCACUUGGAGGUACAGAACGAGGCAGGCAAAUCCCCCAGAACAAGUUUUCCACCAUCUGGCUGGGCCUGAACUUUCACAAGAGCAUCUGCCCCAGCCAACAAGCAUUUACGUGCCUACAGAUGGUGCUCAUAUCACCGAGCAGUAUGUUUGUCUACACAUUGACCCUGGCCCGAAGCCCACUGGAGUCAUCAGAUGCUUUUCAUUAACUCCAACAGGCUGUGGAUGGCAGUUUGGUCAGUCUCCACUGGUGCAGGCAGAGGCACUCAAACGAAUCCUGCAGGAUGCUCAAACGUGUGUGCCUCCAGGUCAGCCCAUAGCAGCUUUCCCAAACACAAGCCUGCCACAGACUCCUUCCAAAUGCACGUGGCUGGAUAUAAAUACGCCUCUGUCUCUGAAUUAGGUGAUGAUGUGAAACACAGGCACAUCCAAUACAAUAAUGAGCCAUUCCCAUCAAAUGCCAAUUCAACUGGAUAAUGGGCCAUAUUGAUUGCUUCGAGGACCAGACCAAUUUCACUUGUCCUUUUAAUGAUUAUUAUGACAUUAUCUAUAUUAUUUCUGCUCAGAAAGAUUAAUUCCCCAUUCCCCACCCCAAUCACUCUGGAUGCGAGGCCAUUCAAGUCUCCAUUCUGAACAGAAGCUGAGGAGACCUCUGCAAGGACUGGACUUAAUUCACUUCUGAAGUGUUAUCAGGCAAUUGGAGCUUUUUUCUCUAAUACUGCCACUGGCAUUAAUGGAAAGAAAACAAUAAAUGUAUCUGGUCACCAAGCAGUCAGCCUCCCCUUUCGUAGCUCUACUGACAUUUCUGUUUCCAGCCCAGACAGUAAUGCAUUCCAUUUUAAUUUUAGCAAACGCUUUCUUUAUGAUCAG